AAGCGUGAGUUCCCUUCCUCCCUCACCACUCCAUGCGUGUUCCUCCCAAAGCUGCAUUCUCUGUCAAAGAGGGUGACCUUCCCCAGAAUAGAGGACAGGUCUUUGGUCAAGAGUAUGUGAGUAGACGCAUUGCCCUGCUAGAACCUUCGAACAAGCUCAAAUGUACCUUCUUGAUAGAAAGAGAAAUCCUCUUCUGGGAGAAUCUUAACAUUGCUUAUAAAAUUAAAACUGCAUCCAUAA
rnacentral:sRNA from 1 species